UGUAAAGUUUUCUAGCGAUACUGCCCGUAAACGAGGAGGAAGUGGGGAUGACGUCAAGUCACGCACUUGGCCCUUACGCCUUGGGCUACACACACGCUACAAUGGGUUAUACAACGGGUUGCGAAAGAGCGAUCUGGAGCUAAUCCCUAAAAUCACUCUCAGUUCGGAUUGUAGGCUGAAACUGCCUGCAUGAAGUUGGAGUUGCUAGUAACCGCAGGUCAGCACACUGCGGUGAAUACGUUCUCGGGCCUU
rnacentral:rRNA from 1 species